rnacentral:rRNA from 1 species
AGCUGGACCGACAACACACAAAAAUCUUAUAUACACCAAACAAACCAUUUUACUAACCAAGUAGAUGUGAUCGAACAGUAAACACCACACCACCAGUACCGUAAGGGAAACACUUCAAGCAAAAAAUAGCAAAGAUUCACCCUUGUACCUUUUGUAUCAUGGUUUAGCAAGCAACCUAGACAAGAAGAAUCAUUAGCCCAUACCCCGAAACCAGAUGAGCUACUUUAAAGCAGCAAAAUAGAGCACACCCUUCUCUGUGGCAAAAGAGUGGGAAGACUUCAAAGUAGCGGUGAAACGCCAAUCGAAUCUGGAGAUAGCUGGCUACCUAAAACAGAAUCUAAGUUCAACUUUAGACCAAAAUAUAAACCCUAAUUCCCUAAAGAAAAUCAAUAGGGGUACAGCUCUAUUGAAGCAGGAAACAACCUGAAUUUGAGAGGACAGCCGCUAAACCCACCAGUAGGACUUAAAGCAACCACCUGAUAAAAUAUCGUUAAAGAAUUAAGACAAAAAUAAUAUAACUUAACACAACCUCCAAAUAAACUAAAGGUAAACCUAUAACUAUGGGUAAUACAAUGCUAAAACUAAUAAUAAGAUACUCUCUCUACACGCACCAAUUCACUAGAAACGGAAAAACCACUAGCUAUUAACAGACCACAAUAGGACUUCCCUACACCCUUCUCAACACCCCCCACUGUAUAAACCAACACAGGUUCGUAAAAAAGAAAGAUUAACCACUAUAAAAGGAACUCGGCAACCAAAAACCCCAACUGUUUAACAAAAACAUAACCUUUAGCCAAACAAAUAUUAAAGGCAAUGCCUGCCCAGUGAACAUUAAACGGCCGCGGUACCCUAACCGUGCAAAGGUAGCAUAAUCAUUUGUCUAUUAACUGUAGACCUGUAUGAAAGACAAAAUGAGGGUUUAACUGUCUCUUAUAGUAAAUCUAUUAAACUGAUCUCCUAGUAAAAAAGCUAGUAUACCCACAUAAGACCAGAAGACCCUGUGAAGCUUUAACUAAACUAUUAAAUCAAAUAAUAACUACUUUAGGUUGGGGCGACCUCGGAAAAAAAAAGAACUUCCGUAUAUUAAACUCACCAGGCCCACAAGCCAAUUUACGACCCAGUAACACUGAUAAUUGAACCAAGUUACUCCAGGGAUAACAGCGCCAUCUUCUUCAAGAGCCCAUAUCAAAAAGAAGGUUUACGACCUCGAUGUUGGAUCAGGACACCCCAAUGGUGCAACCGCUAUUAAAGGUUCGUUUGUUCAACGAUUAAUGUCCUACGUGAUCU